rnacentral:rRNA from 1 species
UGCGUAGGCGGUUGCCUAAGUCAGAUGUGAAAUCCCCGGGCUUAACUCGGGUGGUGCAUUUGAAACUGGGUAGCUAGAGUGCAGGAGAGGGAAGCGGAAUUCCUAGUGUAGCGGUGAAAUGCGUAGAUAUUAGGAGGAACACCAGUGGCGAAGGCGGCUUUCUGGACUGUAACUGACGCUGAGGCACGAAAGCGUGGGGAGCAAACAGGAUUAGAUACCCUGGUAGUCCACGCUGUAAACGAUGGAUACUAGGUGUAGGGGGCGUAGAGCCUUCUGUGCCGCAGCUAACGCAAUAAGUAUCCCGCCUGGGGAGUACGGCCGCAAGGUUGAA